UACGGGGGGGGCAAGCGUUGUUCGGAAUUACUGGGCGUAAAGGGCUCGUAGGUGGCCAACUAAGUCGGACGUGAAAUCCCUCGGCUUAACCGGGGAACUGCAUCCGAUACUGGAUGGCUUGAGUUCGGGAGAGGGAUGCGGAAUUCCAGGUGUAGCGGUGAAAUGCGUAGAUAUCGUAAGGAAGACCAGUGGCGAAGGCGGGUCUCUGGGCCGUAACUGACGCUGAGGAGCGAAAGCAUGGGGAGCGAACAGG
rnacentral:rRNA from 1 species